GAAAGAAGCCUCAGCAAUCUCCAAGGAGGUAUGAAGUUGGAUCACCUCUGUCCAUUUCACUUUGCUGAUAUGAGGAUAUAUUGAGAGAGAGAGAGUGCAUGUGUGUGUGCAUAUGUGUGUGUGUGUGUCCAGACCAACACCAGGCAUAAUACUACAACAAGUACAUAAACCUCAACUCCACCACUAACUAGCUGGGUUAGCUUUGAUUUUCUUAUUGGAGCAUGUUCUAAAGAUCAUUUGACAUGUUUUUUUCACCAUAGAUACGUCUUGUGCUGCUGGGAGAGCUUACACUAUAGUCUGAACUUCUACAGAGCCUUUUCCUACUGUAAACCUCACUCAAAAAUGACAGCCUUCCAUUUCACAAGGAAUCAGAGUCUUGCUAUGUUGCCCACGUGGUAUCAACUCCUGGCCUCAAGUGAUCUUCCUGCCUCAGCUUACCAAAGUGUUGGGAUUACAGAUGUGAGCCACAGUGCCCAGUCUGUGUGUGUUUUUAUAAUUGGAAGUACAUGACAUCUUUUACACAAUAUGCAAAUGCAUAUUGAGGAAGGAGGGAGAGCAACUAUGUCUAAAAGUAAUCACAAUAAGUCUUGACCCAUUAACUGUACAGAUCAAAAUCCACACCAAUUUUAGAUUCAGAGAACACUAUGUCUUUUUAAAAAUCUAUUUAGAAACUACUUACAGUAUUUUUUAGAAAAUGCACAGGAACCCCUGUUAAGAAAUAAAAUAUUCCUUGCAAUAGUUUGCUGAGAAUGAUGGUUUCCAGCUUGAUCCAUGUCCCUAUACCUAAUGUUAAAUGACGAGUUACUGGGUGCAGCACACCAAUAUGGCACAUGUAUACAUAUGUAACUAACCUGCACGUUGUGCACGUGUACCCUAAAACUUAAAGUAUAAUAAAAUAAAUAAAUA
rnacentral:lncRNA from 1 species